rnacentral:tRNA from 1 species
GGUGCGAUGGGUUAUCUGGACAAGUCAGAUCAGGCUCUCGGCGCGGUGAAGAUUCCGCAGGAGUUGCAGCCGUUCGGCUCGACGUCGUACUAC